AGUGAACGCUGGCGGUAGGCCUAACACAUGCAAGUCGAACGGCAGCACAGUAAGAGCUUGCUCUUACGGGUGGCGAGUGGCGGACGGGUGAGGAAUACAUCGGAAUCUACUUUUUCGUGGGGGAUAACGUAGGGAAACUUACGCUAAUACCGCAUACGACCUACGGGUGGAAGCAGGGGAUCCUCGGACCUUGCGCGAUUGAAUGAGCCGAUGUCGGAUUAGCUAGUUGGCGGGGUAAAGGCCCACCAAGGCGACGAUCCGUAGCUGGUCUGAGAGGAUGAUCAGCCACACUGGAACUGAGACACGGUCCAGACUCCUACGGGAGGCAGCAGUGGGGAAUAUUGGACAAUGGGCGCAAGCCUGAUCCAGCCAUACCGCGUGGGUGAAGAAGGCCUUCGGGUUGUAAAGCCCUUUUGCUGGGAAAGAAAAGCAGCAGGUUAAUACCCCGCUGUUCUGACGGUACCCAAAGAAUAAGCACCGGCUAACUUCGUG
rnacentral:rRNA from 1 species